CUCUCAUAUGGCGCAAGUAAAAUAAAGUAUUGACUGAGCUAAUCUUUGCAUGUAAACUAUUAAUUAAAAAUGUAUACAGCAUUUUUGAGAAUCGAUUCAGUAUCGAAAAACACAAUAUUGCCAUCCGAUAUAUUCAAUAUUUUCUUAC